CACUCUUGUUCAACAUAGUACUGGAAGUUCUAGGCAAAGCAAUCAGGCAAGAGAAAGAAAUAAAAGGUGUCCGAACUGGAAAAGAGGAAGUCAAAUUUUUCCUCUUUGCGGAAGACAUGAUUUUAUAUCUAGAAAAACCUAAAGGCUCUGCCCAAAAAAGGAAAAAAAAAAACAAACAAAAAACCCUUAGAUCUGAUAAAUAAAUUCAGAGAAGGUGCAGGAUACAAAAUCAACAUACAAAAAUCAGUAGCAUUUCUAUAUACCAAUAAUGAACAAUCUGAGAAAGAAAUCAAGAAAGCAAUCCCAUUUGCAAUCGUCACACACACACACACAAAUACCUAAGAAUAAAUUCAACAAAGGAGGUGAAAGACCUCUGUAAGGAAAACUACAAAACACUGAAGAAAAAAAUUGAAGAAGAAACUAACAAAUGGAAAACAUCCCAUGUUCAUGGAUUGAAAGAAUUAAUAUUGUUAAAAUUACCAUACUACCCAAAGCAAUCUGCAGAUUUAAUUCAAUCCCCAUCAAAAUACCAAUGUCAUUUUUUAUAGAAAUAGAAAAAAAAAUCCUAAAAUUUGCAUGGAACCAAAGACAGUUUAAAUAGCCAAAGCAAAAUCCUGAGCAAAAAGAACAAAGCUGGAAACAUCACACUCUCAACUUUUAAAAUAUAUUGUAAGGCUAAAGUAACCAAAAAAGCAUCGUAUUGGUAGGAAUGAAAGGGGAAUGGAGAGACGUUGGUUAAUGGGUACAAACAUACAGUUAGAUCGAAGGAAUAAGAUCUAACAAUCAAUGGCAGAGUAGGGUGACUAUAGUUAACAACAAUGUUUUGUCUAUUCCAAAAUAGCUAGAAAAGAGGAAUUGAAAUAUUCCCAAUAUAUAGAAAUUAUAAAUACUUGAGGUGAUGGAUACCCUAAAUACCCCAAAUUGAUCCUUAUCCAUUCUACGUAUCAAAAUAUCAUGUGCCUAUAAAAUAUGUACAAAUAUUAUGUAUCAAUAAUAAAAUGUUCAAGUCUUCUUACAACAGCAUGUUUACAAACAUGAACUUUUAAGUCAGACAGACAGAGGUGAAUCCCGGCUUUACCAUUUGCCAAUUGGGUGACCCAGAGCAACUUAGGUGGCUUCUCUGAGCCCCAGUGUACUCAUCUCAAAAUGAGGAUAAUAACGACUUUCCCAUAGGGUGAUAUGUUUAGUGUGUUUAGCACAGUGCCUCACACAGGGUCAAACACUCAAGAAAUUGUAGCUUUUUGUAUAGUUACCAAGAGCUGUAAAGGACCGCCUUUAUUUGUCAUAGAAACCAUUAAUAUCCCAUCCCACUAGCCUUUGUGUACUAAGUUCAUGGUUUAUGUUGACUUGGCUUGACUUCUGUCUUUUCUCCCUCAAGUCUCCAUGGGGAUUGAAAGCUCUCCCUAGUUGGGCCCUGGAAACUGUAGCUGGCUCCAUCCCAUGCUCUUUACCUUACCUUCCUUCCCAGGCAAUGCUCAGCUCAAUAGAAAGCUCAAGUCCUAUACAGUUGUCAGUUCAGUUGAACCAGAGGUUCAAUUACGCUGUGUAGCUGCUCCAGGGUAGCCUCUGCCUCAGAAGAAGACAAGAUAAGUGAUUGAUCUGCCACUGAUGCUCUGCCCCCAGGAGCUUUUCUUUCUCCAUUCCUGGCUCCUGGAGGUAAGGACAAUUUCUGGGAAAGUGGUUGCUGUAAGAGGUCAUUGUUACAUUUGGGGAUAUGUUCCUUUUAUCGAGAAAGCAAAUCUCUCCAAUGCUCAGCUUCAAGGUGUAGGUGAUGUUAGGGUGCCCUAUUUUUGGGAUUCUCCCAUUUGUCUGGCAACCAGAAAAUGUAAGAAAAUGCAGUACAAUCUUGCUAUUAAACACCUUGCUAUUCCAGAGAUUCAAUUUUACUGUGUAACUAUUUCUCUGUCUAAGACCUGUAAAUUCUACAUCACAGAUGCUGUUUUGGGCAUGGUUGCAUUCAGGAAGCUCCUGAGCCUCGGAGCCAUUAUAGCAUCUCACAGGCCAUGGGACACUGGCGUAUAGCCACAAUAGGAGAAAUGUGUCCACCAGGACAUCCUUAUCAAAGAGCACAAGAAAAUGAAAAGGGAACAGGCAGUCUUACCACUGCUCUCCAUCAGGCGUUCUCCUUCUCUUUUUUUUCCUAAUUAUGUUUAGUCAUCUUUCCUGGAAACUGUAAAUCUCGCUCAGUGAAAUUAUUCAUAUUUAUAGCCCCUGCAUGUAAGUGGCAUUGAACUCUAUUAAAAAUGAUAAAAGGUAGAUGCCUUUGAACGCUGGGAUCAGCCAGCCAAUUGUUUUAAGAUUCACCUCAACUGACUUUAAGACGCACAUGGGUAUCAUUUGGCAAUAAAGCAAGUUUUAUUAAAUUUAGGCAACUUUCUUCGAGAGACAGACAUAAAAUCCUGGCAAAGAUAAGAGCUAAAAUUAACCAGACACGUGGAAUGCUGAACAGCUGAAUUAAAACAGAAACUCGACAUCAUGCAGACAAUAACAUUCCAUCUAUGAGUGCCCUCUCCCCACCUUGAGGAUGGGAACUUCCUUGUCAUCUCAGACCCUUAUAAAAGGCCUCUGUGAAAAUGGAUGAAGUGUUUGGGUAGCCAAAAACCCUCUUUCUAAUGCCAUACUUAAAGUUCUCCUAAACUUUUAAAUCCAACAUCCCCUAAACAAAUACGUCCAUUUAUUCACAAUAAAUCAAUUUUUUUUUUCAGAAGAAGAUUCAAUUAAAAAAAAAUUCCUAUGUCCCUGCUCUUCAAUGUUUUAGCCAUUGCACAGUAAUGGCUUGCCUAAUUCUCUUUUAAAACCAAAUUCAUGUCCCCAACCAUGGAAGGUAUUGAGCCCAUUAAAUUUGGGGUGCUUCUGCAAAUGAAGUUUUGUAUAUGUUUACUUCUUGGUGCAAAAGAAAUUACAUGCACAUUACAGUAACAUCAGAAAAUAUAGACAAGCAAAUGAACCAUAUCAAACAGCUACAAUUCCAAUCACCCAGAAAUGAUAUAUGCAUAUAAACAUACCUGCACAUUAUAUGUGUGCUCCAUAUGCCACACAAAUGUAUGAGUAAAUCAUUUGUCUUCAUGAGCAUGCAAACAUAUAUAUGCACAUCAUACGUGUCCUAUAUAAAAAUAUAUACAUUGUCUUCCGCAUGCGUACACACAUAUAUGUAUGCAGAUAUAUCUCUUAUGAUACAAGUGUAUGCAUACAUUAUGUGUGUUUUUCAUAUACACACAAACACAUAUGCAUACCACAUGUGCCUUUCAUAGUCACACAAACACAUGCACAUAAUAUGUGCCUUUCAUAUGCCUGCAAACACAUAUGAACCUCGUCUUUUAUGCACAUAUAUACAUAUAUGCAUGACAUAUGUGCCUUUAUCUAUAUCUGUGAUUUUCCAAAAUUAAGAUAAUGUAUACAUUGUGUACAUCCUCUAUUGUCACCUGAUUUUUCACUUUGUCUGUUUUUUGUUUCUCACUCUCACAGGAUAUACAUCUUUCCACACCAAUAGACCUUGUUUUCCGAUGUAGCAUUAUUUUUCAUAGUUGGCGAAUAUACAGUUAUGGAUUCAUAACAGCAAGAUGGAGAAAUUGCACUGCAGAGAAAUCUUUAAAAGCAAUUACCUAAUACUGCAGAUUGCUGAACUGUACCCACACCCAAGACUGAGCAUUGGAUCAAUCCAGAAUAUACAUCAGGUGUUCUGCAAUGUCUGCCUAAAACCAUGACUCUGCCUCCUCCAGCUGUUGCUACAUCUCACUAUGGGUUUCCUGUGACAUUUUGAGCAAGUAUGCCUCUGUGACUGGGGUUCUUACACUCCAGAAUGGAUGAGAAGCACCGUAAGUGGCUUUUAAAAUGAAUAUUCCCUGGCCCUUCAGUCGCUCUAUAGGUCAAGAAUCUGAAUUCUCAACCUGUCUAGAAGGUUCUGGUUUUAAUGGUCUGUGGGCUGCACAUUGAGAAACCUGUUCAGCGAGUGCAACAAAGGUUCCACAUGUGAGAAAGGAAGCAUCAGGUCUCUUGAGCCUGUUCUUUAAUCUGUAGGCUGCACCUUCUCUUUAAAUUCUGCUAAUAACACCAUGCGAGAAAACACCCGAGCUUGAAAAGCCCAUGUUCCAACAUAACUGUCCUUCACCACUCUGGAAAAUUAAUGGUUUGUUUCGAUUAUCCCUUUGUUAAACUCCAAAGUCAAAGAGCUCUGAAAGGCAUACGGUUAUUUUAAGUUUCAGGUGAUUUCUGUUGCCAAAUAUUUUAAAAAUUUAAAAUUGCUACGUGACCUCUUAGUAGUACUAUUAGAUUUCCUGACAAUAAAAAUAAGUCUUUUGGUUUCACCAUUUAUAGUUAGUACAGCUAAUAUUAAGUAUAAUUUUAAAAGCCUUUUAUUUUCUCAGAAAGAAAAAAUAAUCAAAAUCUGCUCAGUGUGGUAUUGAAUAAUUAAAAACAAAAGAACAGUAUCUUCACAUUAGUGUUUAAUAUUAAUUGCUUUUUUACCCUUGACACUGGUGCUAAUUAAAUUUUCAUUUUAUUUUCCAUGACUUGUUUAAA
ensembl:lncRNA novel transcript